rnacentral:lncRNA from 1 species
AUGAGAAGGCACAGCCAUCACAGCAGAGCUGGGGACGUGGGGACGUCCGUCAGCCUCCAGGGUGAGGCACACACUGCAUCUGGACCCUGUGCAGUGAGGCGUGUGCUAUCCGAGGCUGGCCGUGCCCGACUCCCUGCACAGGGGGCUCGUGCCCUGCCCACCACAGAGCCGCCCCACCAGGGCGGCGGUCCCCUGCGACGGAGGGCCCCCCACGCUGCCGGCCGUCGUGUCCACAUGCCUCCGCCAAGUCACACCCAGCACCAGCAGAAACGUCUACAGAGAGCGCAGGAGUUUCCAACUGUGGGAAGUGGAUACUGGCGCCUGUUGACUCAAAUUCUUCUUAAUUUUUAUUUUUCCAGCCGCUGCGAGACUCCCCGAAUAAUUCUCUCAGGUCUUCUGAUGAGCAGUUGCCAUUUUCCCUUUCAGAAAACUGGGAGAGGAAGGACCCGGGCAGACCCUGGCGGCAGUGGGGGGCAGAGCCGGCCUGUCCCCGGCCUCUCCCGCCUGCGGCCUUGGUCCCUUCCGGGGAAGCGAUUUGACCGCAGAGCCGAGUUCUCCACCUGCUCCAGGCACGUCAGAGGGGCGCCCUCACCGUGCUACAGACGGACGCUCGCCCCUCAAGGAGUCACCCCAAGUCACACGCCUGCUCUCACCGCCCAGAGUCUCCUACAUCCCCAAAUCCUGACUUUGUCGUCCGCCCCCGCCCCCCGCCCAGGGCUGUCGGCACCACACGUGGCCUCCUUUUCGGGACCUACUGGGCGCCAGUGGAUUAGAAGCCACGCAGGAGACGGAAGUUUCAGGUUAGUGGGAAAACCCCUGGCUUUUUUGAAACACUGUCCUUGCGCUUAAUUUUAAUUUCCAGACCCUGGAAAACAUUGCCUAUGUGAUCCUCUUUCGUCAAAAGGAAGCCUCGGUUUCCCUCAUUUUGACUGUCGGGCUGAAACAGCAGCUUAACAGAAACACCCAAGCGUCACGACAACACACUCUGUAAAAAUGGGGCAAGAGCAAGACAGGACUCCCUGCAGAGGCGCUCCCCCUGCACAGGGACUGAGACCCAGGGGACUUCAAAACAAGGCCCCUUUCAACUAAGAGCACAAGCAUCGCCUGCGUACGCCAGACACGGGGCCUCUCGCACACAGGGCACUGGAACAGAUCACGCUCCCCAGUGCGGGAAGCUCACUGUUUCUUAGAAUAGCCAUCCAUAAAGUUAGCUUUGUGGCUUACAAAAAAGGACCAAGUCAUGGAUGUGAAGAAACGCCCGCCUUUGGACGCCCACCGAGCUUUCCCACGCGGGGCGCCCUCGGCCCCUGUGUGGGGGCCUCUCAGGUCCACGUCCGCUGCCAUGUGACCUUUUCGAGCUCCCGCUCCCUCGGCCAGGUCGUCUGUUUUCCCUUCAUUGUUCUGCUACUUCUAACUGCAGUUUCAAAGAUUACACGACUGCCCCAAAGACCCCGAGCACGAAACUGAAGCAUUUCAGGAAGGUGGUUGACCCACCGCUAGGCCAGAAGCUGUGGCUAAAUCUCUGCCUUCGCUGGACUUUGGCAGAAGAUUUUUAAAUCUGCAAAAGAUGUCACACAAUUGGAUUUUACUUGACGUGAUGACAACUUCAUUAAAAUAUUUAAUUAAUAAAAUAUUUAAGAAAAAAAUGUGGCCCCCA